CAAACAGUAAUUUAAAAAAAAUAAUAGCCUUGGACGCUAAAAAUCAGCUACAUUGCUGCUGUUUGA
rnacentral:tRNA from 1 species